rnacentral:lncRNA from 1 species
CUAUGCUCUGUUGAUUGUGAUGUUUCUGUGGAUAUUAAACUGUAGCGUCACUAUCUGAUAUAAAUACUUAAACUCCUGAGGUAAAUUUUUGAAUAAAAACACUAUAAAGACUAUAUUUGACAUUUUGUGAAAUGUGGUUUUACAUGUCAAAUGUUAGGAGUGGAAACAGAGUUCACCACAUGAAGGACAGUCCAGUACUUCCAGGUAUUUUAGAAGAAGAUUCCCCAUAUUAUCCUUAUUAAUGAGGCGAGAGCUUUAAGAGAGGAAGUUGAUUGGGCCGCCAGUCCCCCCAGAAGUCCCCAAGGUUCAGAGUUCAGAGUUCAGGUAAGAACAGACACCUUUUUAAAUUUAUCUGCACCCAAAGUCCAUUAAAAAUCCCCAAGCACACAUUGUUAUUGCUUUUUUUCUUACUGAACAAGAUUUGUUAUCUGAUUAAACAACAACGAGAAGAUGGGUACAUUUUUGGUUGGUUGCUAAGGUGUGUCUAGGUGGUUGCUAUAAUGUUGC